rnacentral:tRNA from 1 species
GCCGGGGUUGCAGAGUCAGGCUACUGCGGUGGACUCGAGAUCCACUGGGCGUUUGCCCGCCAGGGUUCAAAUCCCUGCCCCGGCG